rnacentral:tRNA from 1 species
GCAAUAGUAGCUCAAGAAAGAGCGUUGGUCUUGUAAACCAAAGGUUAAGUUAUAUAACUUCUUUUGCU